AGUUACUUGAAGGGGCAUCCACACAGGCUUUUUGCACAUUGUGACUGCUCCACUGCCGUGCCUCUCCAUGCCACCUUCCCAAACGAUUACUGCCGCCGCACUGCACCCCUGUUCCGUGAGGAACAGGCAGCUCCAUUAAUGCAGCUGUCUCACCGUAUGCCGUUAUCAGCUUGACUCAUCACAGCAAGACCUCUAAAGCCUCCCUGGAAUUUCUGGCAGAUCCUAUCAUUUCCUAGAUAUAAUACAUUACCUUUUAAUAAAUUAGUAUGUGCCUAACUUUAA